AAGUCCAUAGAGAUGUUUUUGUCGACUGCCUCUUUGUUUCUCUGCGUUUUUUCCUCCUUUCUCCUUUCCUCUGUCUGAUUUUUCUCUUCUCUUCUCCUUUCUCAAUCAAAUUGAAUCUGUUCCCAACUCCACAACAUCAAUCGAUCUCAUCUUCUUCUCCUCCUCAUCCUCCUUUGUCUCUGUCUCUCUGUCUCUCUGUCUCUGUUCUUCUCCAAAACGGCAAAACCAAACCCGUGGAAAAGGAAAGCCCCAACCCAACCCGAAGUCUCUCCGAAUUUGUAGGAUCUUCUUCUUCAAGCCUUACCCUCUGCUACCAAUCUCAGAUUUCAGGCACAAUAACUGUGGUUCAGCAUCAAUUCUAUUCCAUGACAAACUAGACCUCCAAUGCUUUGCAGUUAAAUUAUUCUUGCAUCAGCUCUCCAACGUAGCUUGAAGCCCCAAUUGGGAAUUUGGAAUGGUAAGAAGCCUUGAAACUUGUUUUUACUAUUAUUAUGAAUCUAUUAAUGAUAUCCAUAUGAUACUUUUGUUCUAUGCACCAGUCUGCAUGUAUGCAAAAUUGGUUGAAGGGAGAUGACAUUUGCACAACUUUAGAAGAUGAACCUACUCCUGAAGAAUAUGAGUUUUAUGAGAGUGUUGAAUUAGAAUAUGCAAGUACUGAAGCUGCUGCCACCAGUACAAACACAUUUGGUUGAACUUGAAAAUUUGCAGAUUUGAUUGAACUAUU